rnacentral:rRNA from 1 species
UACGUAGGGUGCGAGCGUUGCCCGGAUUUAUUGGGCGUAAAGGGCGCGCAGGCGGCGGUGCUGGCCCGGCGUGAAAGCCCCCGGCUCAACCGGGGAGGGUCGUCGGGGACCGCACCGCUUGAGGGCGGUAGGGGCUGGUGGAAUGCCUGGUGUAGUGGUGAAAUGCGUAGAGAUCAGGCGGAACACCCGUGGCGAAGGCGGCCAGCUGGGCCGACCCUGACGCUGAGGCGCGAAGGCGUGGGGAGCGAACGGG